rnacentral:SRP_RNA from 1 species
GGCCCAGUCCCGUGCGGCGAAAGCCCGUGAACCCCGUCAGGUCCGAGAGGAAGCAGCGGUAAACGGUGUCUUUUGGGUGCCACGGAGCCCUGGGCCUCC